AUGGCCACGACCGGUGUCUCCAAAGCGGCAUCAAAGAAAUCUACCACAACGGAUGCCUGGUAGUGCCGCAAGUGUCAACAGAACUGCUUCAUUCCCAGAACCACCAGAGCCGUGCAUCAGCGCCCGCGACAGUUGGCGGUCUGAAAAUCCAGCAAUGCCGAUUAUCCGCUGUCCUGAUGCCCCCAAAAGAAAAGAAAACACCAAAUCCCGAGUCGUUAAAGAGAGACGACGAUCAACCACAAAACAUCAUCAGGAACAGUUUACACCGAUAGCUGGAAUUCUAACAACGCCACAGCCGGUUCUGC